rnacentral:misc_RNA from 1 species
GAUGAAGACGUAGCGAAAUGCGAUAAGUAAUGUGAAUUGCAGAAUUCAGUGAAUCAUCGAAUCUUUGAACGCACAUUGCGCCCCUUGGUAUUCCGAGGGGCAUGCCUGUUCGAGCGUCAUUAUAACCCCUCAAGCUCAGCUUGGUGUUGGGGCCUGCUGCACUGGCAGCCCUUAAAAUCAGUGGCGGCGCCAUCUGGCUCUAAGCGUAGUAAUUCUUCUCGCUAUGGAGUCCUGGUGGAUGCUUGCCAUCAACCCCCAAUUUUUCUAUGGUUGACCUCGGAUCAGGUAGGGAUACCCGCUGAACUUAAGCAUAUCAAUAAGCGGAGGA